rnacentral:misc_RNA from 1 species
GAUGAAGAACGCAGCGAAAUGCGAUAAGUAAUGUGAAUUGCAGAAUUCAGUGAAUCAUCGAAUCUUUGAACGCACAUUGCGCCCUCUGGUAUUCCGGGGGGCAUGCCUGUUCGAGCGUCAUUAUAACCACUCAAGCUCUCGCUUGGUAUUGGAGUUCGCGAUCUCGCGGCUCCUAAAAUCAGUGGCGGUGCCUGUCGGCUCUACGCGUAGUAAUACUCCUCGCGAUUGAGUCCGGUAGGUUUACUUGCCAGCAACCCCCAAUUUUUACAGGUUGACCUCGGAUCAGGUAGGGAUACCCGCUGAACUUAAGCAUUUCAAUAAGCGGAGGA